UACAGAGGUCUCAAGCGUUGUUCGGAUUCAUUGGGCGUAAAGGGUGCGUAGGCGGCGCGGUAAGUCGGGUGUGAAAUUUCGAGGCUUAACUUCGAAACUGCAUUCGAUACUGCCGUGCUAGAGGACUGGAGAGGAGACUGGAAUUCCUGGUGUAGCGGUGAAAUGCGCAGAUAUCAGGAGGAACACCGGUGGCGAAGGCGGGUCUCUGGGCCGAUACUGACGCUGAGGAGCGAAAGCGUGGGGAGCGAACAGG
rnacentral:rRNA from 1 species